AACAAAGACCAGCUACCCAUCUCUUGGGCCCCGUUUGGGGUCUGUUCGCAGAGACGGGGGGUGAACUGGGACUUGUGCCCCACCGUGCCGCGCCCCAGCCAGGUGCCGCCGCCGUUCACCGCGUUCGGGCGGCCCGCCGCGCCCGCCGGCUCCGGCCUGACCGGCCUCAGCCCGCACCUGUCCCGCGCGCCCGCCCGCGGCCACCACCGCUACGCCUUCAACACCUUCGCCAGCGGCUACUGAGGGCUGCUCCGCCGCAUAGAAACUGCUAGAGAGACGGAAACGACAGUCGUGGACCACCACCGCGACGCGCAGAUUCUUGUCAUUUACAUACAUUGCAUUUACCGCUCACAUGUUAAGUGUACAUAUUUUUGGUGGUUUAUUUUGGUACAAAAUAUACGAUACUGUUCAGGAAUGAAUGCGUGUUGUUUCUUCAUUGAUGAUAGCCCGGUGUCACAAGGGGAGACGAGGGAGACGGUGUCGAUCCCGACGCGGACCGCCGCGGGCCUCUUAGCGCCGCGGACCGGUUGGGGAUGACGGGGUUUAUGAGAAUUCCUCCGUCUGCUCGGUUAAUACAUUGUAAUAACGAAUUCCAUCUCUCGAGUCGAUGCCACGGAACGCCGGGGUUGCUGGGGAAAGGGGAAAAGGAGGGAAAAGCUGGAAGAAGGAAGGAGGGGGUGCGGGCAGCCGCCUGCUCCGCCUGCUGCAGGGCAAAAAGGAUCACAGUCAAGUGAACGCAAGGCGCCCCGCCCCGCGCCGUCACUCUGAGAUGGCAGAGAAAAGGCCGCGAUAGUCUGACACGCUGCGAGCCCUGCGAGCGGGCCGCCGCCAGGGCCGCUCAGGAAAUGAGUCUCUGAGAGGGGCCUGGGCCUGGCGGGGCCGGGCCGCGCCGGGCCGGGCCGGGGGAAGAGGUGGGCGCUGGCAACGCCUGUUAUAAAUCUCAUUUCCACCGAUGCACGAAGAGUGACAGGACAAGAAUUGGAAAUUCUUAAAGCGCGGGAGUGCGCCGACCUCGCGAUUCUUCUGCUUUAUCUCUAAGUCUUGCUCUCUCCCUCUCUGAGGCAGAGAGAGAGUAACGGCGGGGUGCGGUUCACUCCAAUAACAGAGUAGCCACACGACCGAGCCCUAUUCAAUUAGCAGACAGGUACACGUAACCAACACGUGUCAACGGGCGGGCCAGACCGGUAAUGAGAGAACCUUUCUGGGAGAGGGGGGGGGGAGCGCAACGGAACAGCACCCCACACCCCACCGGCAGAGCAAGGACUUUGAAACUUCCUCUUUGUCUUUACUAUCCUUUCGUAAUUCUAAAAA